rnacentral:sRNA from 1 species
AUAUUUUCCCGCAAAAAUUUUUUUUUGGCGGGAAAUAGCUUUUCAAGAGAUUUUAAAAGGGUUUUAAAAGAUUUACAAGAGAUUUUAAAAGAGUUUUAAAAUAUUUACGAGGAAUUUUAAAGGCCUUUA